CCGAAAACUAUUGAAAUCACUUAUUGUUAAAUUUGAAUGCCCCACCAAACAGCUGGACGUAAUGAUGCGUAAAAUAUUGACAAGGUGCAUGUAUUAGAAUUUAAUUAGGAAUAUCUCCUGGUAAAGUGUGCGAUUUUCUGCUCCUGGGAAUUAAAAACAGCUUCUUGAACAGUUCUUUAUGCAUAAAAUUUACUUAUGUCAAUCAUUUAUGCACUCGUGAGAGCCAACAGAGCGCUAAGGCAUUCAAAUUCUAAC
rnacentral:lncRNA from 1 species